CUGUGGGCUCAUCUUCUGGCAUCAUUGGCCUGAUAGAAUUUAGGAAGGCCUCAUUGCCAGGUGAAUGUACUGCCAUGGCUGCCUACAUGAAUGUUGGGGCUGGCUAGCGUCAUGGUGUGAGUGGACUGGCUGAUGAUAUCUCCAAAGUGAAGAGACCACCUCAUAUGAAAGCUGAGGGUAUGCCCCAGGAGAA